rnacentral:rRNA from 1 species
UACAGAGGUCUCAAGCGUUGUUCGGAUUCAUUGGGCGUAAAGAGCGUGUAGGCGGCCCGGUAAGUCCGCUGUGAAAGUCCAGGGCUCAACCCUGGGAUGCCCGGUGGAUACUGUCGGGCUCGAGUCCGGGAAGAGGAGUGUGGAAUUCCGUGGUGUAGCGGUGAAAUGCGCAGAGUAUCAGGAGGAACACCAAUGGCGAAGGCAGCACUCUGGGACGUGACUGACGCUGAGGCACGAAAGCGUGGGGAGCAAACAGG